rnacentral:rRNA from 1 species
GACGAACGCUGGCGGCGUGCUUAACACAUGCAAGUCGAACGGAAAGGCCCUGCUUUUGUGGGGUGCUCGAGUGGCGAACGGGUGAGUAACACGUGAGUAACCUGCCCUUGACUUUGGGAUAACUUCAGGAAACUGGGGCUAAUACCGGAUAGGAGCUCCUGCUGCAUGGUGGGGGUUGGAAAGUUUCGGCGGUUGGGGAUGGACUCGCGGCUUAUCAGCUUGUUGGUGGGGUAGUGGCUUACCAAGGCUUUGACGGGUAGCCGGCCUGAGAGGGUGACCGGCCACAUUGGGACUGGGAUACGGCCCAGACUCCUACGGGAGGCAGCAGUGGGGAAUAUUGCACAAUGGGCGGAAGCCUGAUGCAGCAACGCCGCGUGCGGGAUGACGGCCUUCGGGUUGUAAACCGCUUUCGCCUGUGACGAAGCGUGAGUGACGGUAAUGGGUAAAGAAACACCGGGUAACUACGUG